CUCUUUUAAAUUUUCCAAUUGCCCUGUACAUGCUUAAGGUUAGAUGUUUACUAUGUUUAAAAAGGAUAUGUAUGAAUUUAAAUAUGUUGCAAAUGCUUACCGUUCUAAUGGAUACAUUCAUCUAGUUUGAACUGGACAACCUAGCCGAGCUUCGUACACAAGGUGAAUGGGAAGAUGUUCCAUCACAUCGAAGAACGCUGGUGGAAAAAUCUUCUCCAGCUU
rnacentral:lncRNA from 1 species